UCGUUGAAUUUUUCACAAAAUCACAGGCGGCAAGGUUAAGACGUCAAGGAUUUGCUCAAUCAAAGAACAAUAAAGAAAAUAACAAAGGUACACCACUUCGUGAUGCCCCACCACCAACACCAAUUACCAAAGGCAUAAACUUAACAACCACACCAAUUGUCAAGAAGGAAAAACGGCAGACAAGUUCAAGAUAUAAUGUCUCAAAAAAUUGCGAACUAACACCACUGAAUCCUCUGAAUGAAA